GGAUGUGAGGGCGAUCUGACUGCAGCAUCUGUCACCCCAUUGAUCGCCACUGUUAAUACGGCUGAUCUGGCUGGCUAGGCAGGGGUCCUCUCACUACUCCAUGUGUGUCCCUCCCAAAGCUGUGUGCUUGGUCGAAGAGGACAGCCUUCCCCAAAUAGAAAUGGACUGGUCUUCGGUCCAGGGUAUGUGAGUAGGUGCGCUUCCCUGCUAGAACCUCCAAACAAGCUCUCAAAAAUGGGGAAAGGAUAUGAAUAGAAUAUUCACCAAAGAAGAGAUCCAACAGGCCAACAAACAGAUGAAAAAAUGCUCCAAGUCAUUGAUUGU
ensembl:misc_RNA 7SK 7SK RNA